UUCUUGGUUCCAUUAGAGGAAGUAAAAGUCGUAACAAGGUUUCCGUAGGUGAACCUGCGGAAGGAUCAUUACUGAAUAACUAAAUCUUUAGUUUUUCAUACCCCAUUGUUGACUUACCCAUGUUGCUUCCACGUGGACAGGCGUUCAUUCUGCCCUCUGGCUUGUUGUGCUUACCCCACACUUGACAGGGAGUUGCCCGUGGUAAGACCCCAAUAUUACACUUGUUAUAUAUACUAUAAUGUCUGAAUAAAUCAUUUCAAAUGAAAUAAAACUUUCAACAACGGAUCUCUAGGCUCUUGCAUCGAUGAAGAACGCAGUGAAAUGCGAUAAGUAAUGUGAAUUGCAGAAUCUCGUGAAUCAUCGAAUCUUUGAACGCACAUUGCGCCCUAUGGUAUUCCGUAGGGCAUGCCUGUCUGAGCGUCAGCUCCCCCCAACUCAAACUUUUGUUAGUUUGGAUUACUUUGAAGGUGUAGCUUGUCAAAGCUGCUUUUCAGAAAUUCAUAGGCAGUAUGGUUAUUCCUAGACCAGACGUAAUAAUAAUAAAACCGUCUUUUUGGGAAAGAAUUGUGCUUGCCUCAACCCACCCAUUAUCUUUUUACUUGGGGACCUCAGAU
rnacentral:rRNA from 1 species